rnacentral:rRNA from 1 species
UACGGGGGGAGCAAGCGUUGUUCGGAUUUACUGGGCGUAAAGGGCGCGUAGGCGGCGCAACAAGUCACUUGUGAAAUCUCCGGGCUUAACUCGGAGCGGCCAAGUGAUACUGUCGUGCUAGAGUGCGGAAGGGGCAACUGGAAUUCUUGGUGUAGCGGUGAAAUGCGUAGAUAUCAAGAGGAACACCUGAGGUGAAGACGGGUUGCUGGGCUGACACUGACGCUGAAGCGCGAAAGCCAGGGGAGCAAACGGG